GAAGUAGGCAAGAUGGUCGUUUCAGCACGAUCGCUUUUUUGGGUUUUUGCUGGAGAGGAAAGUCCGAGCUCCACAGGGCACAGUGCUCCGUAACGCGGAGUGGGAGUAAUCCUAAGGAAAGUACCACAGAAAAUAUACCGCCCUGCGGGAGACACAGAGAUGGGUCCCUCACAGGGUAAGGGUGAAAAGGUGGGGCCGUAGUGGCUUAAUGUAAGAGCCCACCACUUCCCGGGUGAUCGGGAAGGUAUGGCAAACCCCACUGGGAGAAAGGCUAAAUUGUGAGGCAUAAGCGGCCCGUUUCAGCGCCUCCGGGUAAGCCGAUUGACCUUAAUGGCAACAUUGAGGCAAGAUAAAUGAUCAUCUCAAACAGAACUCGGCUUAUUGCCUGCUUCCGCU
rnacentral:RNase_P_RNA from 4 species